CCAAAUACAUCAGGGACCAAGUUGAUUACUUUUAUCCAUACUUUAAGGACUAUAUCCAUCAAGUGGAUAAUAUCAAGGACUAAACCAAUGAAACCCCAAUACAUCAGGGACCAUUUUGAUCAUUUUCUCCUUCACUUCCAUUAACCCAAAUUAUAUAUAGUUUCCCCAAAUCUCAAAUUGUCCUCCAAAUUUCACCCAAAGUUUUCUUCUUGCUUUACUUUUAAAAAGAUUCUUGGAAAGAAACUAGAUCAUGAAGAGUAUUAGAAAGAAAUGGAAAGGUACCGGAUUUAAUCUCCAUCAUCGCCUUUAUAAAGAGCCAUUGACGUUGGAGGAAAAUGUUGCAAGACUUCCCAGUGGAAUUGAUCCUGACCAGUGGAUGCGGUUUCUUCAAUACAGCAAGGAUAAGAAAACACAGGCUACAUAUUAUUUGAUCGGUUCUUUAAGCUUUAAUUCUUGAACCAUAUUGUAGCUAUGAAUCUGAAUAUGCAUAUUCUGAUUUACCAACUAAUCAAAGCUUUUUUUCCCCUUAAGUUUCAGAUGUUACUAUGGCAAGCUUAUUUCUGUAUUGUUUUAUGAAUUUAAUCCAAUAUGCUUAAUUUC